ACGGGAGGCAGCAGUGGGGAAUAUUGCACAAUGGGCGAAAGCCUGAUGUAGCGACGCCGCGUGAGUGAAGAAGUAUUUCGGUAUGUAAAGCUCUAUCAGCAGGGAAGAAAAUGACAGUACCUGACUAAGAAGCCCCGGCUAACUACGUGCCAGCAGCCGCGGUAAUACGUAGGGGGCAAGCGUUAUCCGGAUUUACUGGGUGUAAAGGGAGCGCAGGUGGCAUGGCAAGCCAGAAGUGAAAACCCGGGGCUUAACCCCGCGGACUGCUUUUGGAACUGUCAGGCUAGAGUGCAGGAGGGGCAGGCGGAAUUCCUAGUGUAGCGGUGAAAUGCGUAGAUAUUAGGAGGAACACCGGUGGCGAAGGCGGCCUGCUGGACUGUAACUGACACUGAGGCUCGAAAGCGUGGGGAGCAAACAGGAUUAGAUACCCUGGUA
rnacentral:rRNA from 1 species